rnacentral:lncRNA from 1 species
GAAAAUCUCUGCUCCUUCACCACCCACAACUUCCACAAAAUCUCUCUGCUUGUCCUCCAUUAGCACCCACCAAUUUGUACAGAUCUAGUUUACAUUGUGUCCCUGAAUAAAUCAAAACUUUAUUUGUGUCCUUCAUAGAACGUCCGUGGUGGAGGACCAAACUCCUGAUCUCGGUACCCAAACAAGAGUUGUCUCUCAAAACUUCUCAAUGUAAGUUUUGAUAGACCAGAUCUACUGCACCCAAUAAGACCAUCAACACAGUUGUCCAUAUUUUCUUCUAACUCAUCUUUUUGAGUUUGUCCUUCACCGAUUUAAGAAAGCAUAGACAAACCUUGUUGGACUACAAAUCUUACUAACGACAUGUCAGAGGACACACAUUGGAGUUGUCUCUUGGAAUCUGUCAAAGUGAGUUUCGAUGGACCAGAUCUACUUUAUAUAUUUUGUCCAUCAUAUAUUACUUACUCGUUCGCUAUUUCUGACAUGUAUGAUCCAUUACCCACAUGAUAUUAGGCAACAUCCCAAUAAUUAAUGGCUAAUGCUGCCAAUAGAAAGAGCAAAAUUUCAUUCUCCAAUGCACAUGGCAAAAUCGUCUAAGGUUCAUCUUUUUGGCACGUUUUGAAAGAGGUUUUUGUUAAUGGCAGUUUUACAAAUUUGAAUUUAAGAAAUGGCAG